rnacentral:rRNA from 1 species
UACGGAGGAUGCAAGCGUUAUCCGGAAUGAUUGGGCGUAAAGCGUCCGCAGGUGGCGAUGUAAGUCUGCUGUUAAAGAGUCUAGCUCAACUAGAUACAAGCAGUGGAAACUACAUAGCUAGAGUACGUUCGGGGCAGAGGGAAUUCCUGGUGUAGCGGUGAAAUGCGUAGAGAUCAGGAAGAACACCGGUGGCGAAGGCGCUCUGCUAGGCCGUAACUGACACUGAGGGACGAAAGCUAGGGGAGCGAAUGGGAUUAGAUACCCCAGUAGUCCUAGCCGUAAACGAUGGAUACUAGGCGUGGCUUGUAUCGACCCGAGCCGUGCCGUAGCUAACGCGUUAAGUAUCCCGCCUGGGGAGU